CAGGGUCCAGGGGGUCUGGUUUUAUAGUCCCUUCAAGUGAAUAUGGGCCCUUGGAUCAAACCGACAUAGAUUGUAUGGUUUAGAUUCAUCCUUUAGGUCGGUGGAGAUCUCCCGCAAAGCAGAGUCCUGAUUGGACUCAGGAGGUGGGUGGGCGCCCUAACCAACUGGGCGGCCGCCCAGGGUCUGGCCCCGUUUCGCCUCCGCUUCGGUCUUGUGGCUUCUGGAGUCUUCUAGAUGUAAGAUAAUUGCGCAGCACGUUAAUAUCUUUACGUAAUCCCGACAUGUGGGCCUUUCUUCCGUAUUUCCUGAUAACCCCCUGCAGAAAUAGACAAACACCAAAACUCGCGGAAUUCUGUCAGAUAAAACCCUAAGUCUAGAUCUUAAUUUCAUUUGGAUCCUUUUCUUUAUUUAUUUGAUAAUUAAAUUUGAUACUUAAGGACCGUCAACAAACUCCCCCAAGCUUACCUCUUGCUCGUCCCUGAGCAAGGAUAGACUCAGCAAUGGAUCAUAUGUUGUUGCAAUAUUUUUAAAAAAUAGACGGUACACAUGCUUUUAAAUAAGAUCUCAUCUCUGAGUUAGAGUAAACUAUCAAGACUUAAAACUUACUUACUUUACCUCCACCAUGGGACUUGUAACUGUCACUUCCGUCUUGAGUGGUUAAAAGAUAGAACAGUCUAGCCAAGUGCCAUGUCUCUUAUUCUUGAUCAGCUAUAGCUCUGGGGUUUUUUUGCAGAUUUUCAAAUAAAACUCAGAGAUUCCUUGUAUGAUUCUCUCAGGUCUCUCUUUUGUGGUAUUUUUGGAUCCUUACCAAGGCAUUGAUGGUAUAUGCCUUCUCUCAAGAUAUGUAGUAUUUGUGGUAUAAGGCAUAGUGACAUUGCCUUCUCUCUCACCCUACUCUAAUAAGGCUUUAAUAUCUGGAGCUCAUAGGUGGGAGAUAAAGUAUACAUACUCACAAGACAUUUAUUGCAUAGUCAAACCAUGGAUCCAAAGAAACAAAUCAAUAAGCCAAAUCAAGAUGUGCAUGUGUGGCGAAUGAAUGGUGUAUGGUGAUGAUGGUGAUAACAAUGGUGAAAACAAUGGUGGUGGAAGUCUAAUUCUACUUUUCUCUUUUGAGGGGAUACAUACCUUCCUUGCUUUUGAAACUUUAUGAGGAGAAUGAGAUGCUCUUCUUUUUCUUGUCUCUCAGGUGGGUAUCUUGCACCCCUAAUUCUACUGUCGGACACUUGUCCAUUUUUACCUCUCGUCUCACUCUUUCUUUUCUUUCGAGGUUCCGAGCACUUGCUCCUUUUUAUUUCCUCGUAUAUUUUUUUUAUUUUCUUCUUUUUUUAGAGCACUCAUCUCUUGAGAUAAUAUAGCUAGUGGUAGUGUCGGUGUUUUCCCCACGGGGGGUCACACCAACGAGUAAAUUUGUAUGCGUGCUCCCUUUCCCAGAUGGUGAUGCAAGAAGACACAGGGAUUUAUACUGGUUCGGGCAAGAGAAGGCCCUACGUCCAGCGGGGGGAGGAGAGUUUGUAUUAUCUUACACCUAAGUGCUUGUACAGGGGUGAAUACAAGCGUGGUAUGAAGUGUGGAGCUCUACUACGUAUGAGCGUGGUCUUGUGUCGUGAUGUCCCCGUUGUUCUAUUCCUGAGUCCCUCCUUUUAUAGUUCCAAGGAGAGACCCAAGGUACAUGUAUAGGCGUCAGAAUAGAAGUCGAUAGCAGUAUGGAGCGCUAACCUACUCGAGGCUUCCGUACCGGCAUGGCCUCGAGCCGUCCCGUCUUAAUAGCCUGGUGAUGAUUACGCGUGCCCCUGCAUUCUGCUCUGCGCGCCGUCUUGGAUUGGUUCGACGGGUGCACGCUUGUAUGAUCCGGCGGCAAAUCCGGCGGAGUGGUUGGGAUGUAGCCAGUCGACGCCCAACCCGUCCCCUGGAAGGAUCUCUGUCUGGUCGAGGGUCAGAUGCCGUACAUUGUGCUGAUAUCUGGAGCGCUGACUUUAGACGUCUCGAGGGGGUCCCGAUUAGACGUCCCAUCCUUGUUUCCCGCGCCCUGUCGUGCCCUGGGUCGUUCGGCGGGAAGGCUGCAAAAAGAUCGAUGGGACGGAAACCUGUUCCCUAUCACGCUUCCCGUGACCUGUGUGUUAGGUGGGGAAGCAUCAGGCGCAUUUAAUGCUCCGGCCCGCGUGCGCGCGUCAGGCGGCGGGCGGCGUCCUUGCGCUCGACGCCCCCCGGUUCGCGUGAGCCUGUUCCGUAUUCGACGGUAACCGGCACUCGACGCCUGAUCGAUUCGCUCGACGCUAUUUCUGUCUUCGAGGUUGCGGCCGUCGAUGGCGGCGCAUACGUAAGAUUAGAGCGUCGAAUUGAGGGCCUCGACCUGCGUACGGGCAAUCUCGUAAUGCACAUCGCUGAGGGUACCCCUUACCGAUACCCUCGACAGUAGCCCCCGAGCCUCCAUUUGAGCGCUAGCGCUCGAGUGGAGGCUUUGUUUUGCGGUCGAAUUUCCGUGGGGGCGCGCGAGCGACCCCGCGGGGGUAGCCCCCGAGCCCUCGGAGGAGUUUUUGACUCCUUCGAGGGUUAUGUUGUCUAAUUCGCAGAAGCGCUUUCGACACCAGUGGUAGAAGGUUCUGACUGGCUCGUUUUGCCCGGGGGUUUCGACGUACUCUCGAUAGAGCGAGCGUCUUCCUCCCCAAAUUGAGUUCCUGGCGGGUAGUCCAAGUGAGAACCUGUGCCCCUUUCGAGGGGGUCAGCUGUAGCCCGGAGGCGUUCUCAUAAAGCGGGAUCGACGUGGUCGGGGAUACCAGUCUCAUUCGGUAGAGACCGGCGGUUCGAUGCCUCCCGUCGGGGGGAUUCCUCUCGACUGUCUCGACCCUACCUUGAACAUCGCCAGCGAGUCCUCGAGGCGGGCCUCGAUCUUCGACCGCUCGCUGGGGAUCCCUGACUCUGGCGCUCGAGAUCGGCUGUCGAACCCUUUCGGCGGGCCAGCCAUCGACCUCUCGAGACUCUCGCGGCUACGUCCCUUGGCUUAUGAGGGAAGGAAGUGGCCGUGGCGGUUCGCCUUUCUGCCCGUUGGGCGCGCCUUUUUAGGCGGGUGACGUUACGACACUGCAUCGGCGUGGGAUUCGGGGUGCCACGCCUGCGUGGGAAAGAGACGAUUAGGUGGCGCAUUUAAUGGAGGGAGUUACCUUAUUUCUCGGAUCUGUCCGUUGGCGGACUGCUGCCUAUAAAUACGUCGUGGCGUCGCCGCCGUUCCUCUCCCUUCCGCCUUCUCGCUUUUAUACUCUCGUUGCCUUUGUUUUCUCGCUGCCUUAGCUCUCUCGCCGUCUCACGCGCACACGCCACCUCGAGCCGUAGCGAAUCCACCGUCCCUCCAGCCGAGAUGCCUGUAAGACUCGUUGCCGCCGACGACUGGCGCCCGUCGUCGAUGACGGAGCGCCGGUUGUUAGAGCUUGAGAAAGAGGGACUGCUGCGCCGCCGUACCUCACUAUCGUCGCCAGAGUGGAUCGCGCCGCCGGCGAGUCACAGGGGGCCUCAGCCGCCCGAGGGCUACGUGGUGUCGUUCGCCAAGUUCCACCGCCACGGCCUGGGCGCGCCCCCGAGCCGCUUCAUGCGGGCCCUCUGUUUCCAUUAUGGGGUGGAGCUCCAGCACUUCUCUCCAAACGCCAUCACCGUAGCGGCGGUCUUCGCCGCCGUGUGUGAGGGCUACUUGGGGAUGAUGCCGCACUGGGAGCUGUGGCUCCACCUCUACAGGGGCGAGCUUUUCCACGCCCCCACCGGAACCACGGGCGUAAGGAAGCCCGUGCGAGCGGGAUGACUCAAUCUGGUGCAGAGGACGGGGAAGACGGACAGGCCGCGGGAGUACAUCCCGGUAGGGUUAUCGACCAACCACGCCGGCUGGGACUCCCAGUGGUUUUACCUGCGGAACGAUGACAACCUCCUGCCUUCCUACUCGGGCCGUCUGAUCAUGGAGCGUCCAGCGGACUGGACAUACGGCGUCGUCCAAGCUCAUCAAUGUCGGCUCGACCCCCUCCUCGACGCCCUGAAGAAGCUUCGCCAGGCGGGUUUGACCGCCGCUCUCGUCCUCUCGGCCGUCCAUCACCGGAGAGUUCUCCCUUUGAUGUCUCGCCCGUUGAGGAUGGACGAGAUGGGCCCUGGCGUCUCAUCUCGGGACCUCGAGGCGUGUCGGAUGUCCAACGAGGCUCCGGCGGACGACGAAGUCGUGGCCCGAGUCAGGGCUGCAAUUGCCGGUGAUUUUCAGUCGGAGCACGUUAGCGGCUUCCCCAUGAGACGAGACGCAGGCUCGAUCGAUCUGGUACGCUUUCUUCUUUUUUCGAGGUGUGCUUAGUUUUUCCUAAGGUCUCUUGUAUUGGCCUUUGCAGGGCUCAAGGACGAACUCCUGGCCGCCCAAGGAGAGGCUCGCAACGCCAAGGCUCAGCUCGAGGCGGAGGUUGCUUUGAACCGUCGAGUUCAGACGGCGAUAAGUGAUCUCUCGACCUCUUGGGAGGUCGAGCCCAUGGAUGAGUCGAGGGAGGGCGCUCGAGGCGACGCCCUGGUCGACCAGCUGUGCUACACAGGCGCGACGCUGCGAGAUCGGGUGCGGGAUGCCCUCCACAUUGGGGUGAAGCGGGCGAUGGCGGUUGUCUGCUCGGGCUUCUCCUACGACAUGGAGGUGGUGUCUCACGGCUUCGUCACCGACAUCUCCAAGACCGACGCGGAGAACGAGGAGAGGCUCCAUGCCUUGAUCGACGACGCGGAGGCUCCUGGGGAAAGGCUGGCUAAGCUUUUUGAGCCUGAGGUGCUUCCUCCUGAGACUAGCUUAGGCGGAGGCAUGGGCGGUGAGGAUAGUGCCGCGGACUGAGGCCUGCGAGCUUGCUCAGGGCGCCUGGGGCCCCUUGUAUGAUAUUUUAUUAAUUCUGUUGCUAAGUGAUACAGUGUCUUUUUGUAAUUGUUAAAUGCUUAUUUGUCUUUCCGCUCGAGGUCCUUUUAUUUCUCUUUGUUCCUACGUUUGUACCCCCUGCUCGAUCUUUCGUCAGAAACAACCUCGAUCACCUCAAUGGUGAGGAAGUGAGUAGAGUUUCCGAAGCCCGGGGGCGUAGGAGUUCUCCGGCUCGUUGUCCCUCGGCCUUUGAGGGGCUCGAGGCGCCUGUGCUACUCGAACCGUGCAAGGUUUACUAAAUAGGAAAAGAAAGUUUCUUGGCUUUGUCGACGCUUGGGGGGGGUCGUCCCCCUGGUAGCCCCCGAGGGGGUGUUGACUAUGAUGGGUCAUGGUCGGCAUCCCCUUUUAACGUCGAGACUAUGACUUGUAGCUUUUUUUUUGGGACAAAAAGAAGUCGCUCGAGGGAAAGACUUUAUUUAUUCAUGCGUUCGUUUACAAAGUCUUGGUACAAAAUGCAGGAACGUAAGUUUAGGACUUCUAGGGGUAGAAUCGACGUAGCUGUUCGAUGUUCCAUGCGUUGGUGAAGAUUGCCCCCUUUUCAUCCGCCAACUUGUACGUUCCCGGCUUCAGGACCUCGGCCACCACGUACGGGCCUUCCCAAGGCGGAGUCAGCUUGUGGCGUCCUUGAUUGCUUUGUCGGCGUCGUAGGACAAGAUCGCCCACGUUGAGGUCCCUCUUACGCACGUGCUUGUCGUGGUAGAGUCGGAGUUUUUGCUGGUAUCUGGCAGAGUUGAGGAUGGCCAUGUCUCGAGCCUCCUCGAGUUGGUCGACCGCGUUUUCUUGAGUCUCCUUGUUGGAUUGCUCAUUAUACGCCUUGAGUCGAGGUGACCCAUACUCGAGGUCCGUGGGGAGGACAGCCUCGGAGCCGUAGACCAUGAAGAAUGGGGUGUACUUCGUGGCCCUGCUUGGCGUUGUCCUUAGACUCCAUAGGACCGAGGAAAGCUCCUCGACCCAUUUCUUGCCGAAUUUCUUCAAACGAUUGUAGAUCCUUGGCUUGAGUCCUUGCAAAAUCAUACCGUUGGCACGCUCGACCUGGCCGUUGGUUCGAGGGUGGGCUACUGCAGACCAGUUCACACGGAUGUGAUGUUGAUCGCAGAAGUCCAAGAACUUUUUGCCGGUGAACAGAGUGCCGUUGUCGGUGAUGAUGACGUUGGGAAUCCCAAAUCGAUGGAUUAUGUCGGUGAAGAAAAGGACGGCCUGCUCGGAGCGGAUGUUGGUGAUGGGUCGAGCCUCGAUCCAUUUGGAGAAUUUGUCAAUGGCCACCAACAAGUGGGUGUACCCUCCUUUCGCCUUUUGUAGAGGUCCUACCAAAUCGAGCCCCCAAACUACAAAUGGCCAGGUGAUGGGGAUCAUCUGAAGAGCGUGGGCGGGCAGGUGCGUCUGCUUGGCGUAAAACUGGCACCUGUGACACGUGCGUACGAGCUCGAUGGCAUCUGCCACGGCCGUCGGCUAGUAGAAACCCUGUCGAAAAGGGUUUCCCACGAGGGUUCGUGGAGGAGCAUGGUGGCCGCAAGCCCCCGAGUGUAGGUCUUCAAGGAGUUUUCGACCUUCUUCCACGGUGAUGCAACGCUGUAAGACCCUCGUCGGGCUUCGUCGAUAUAGCUCGUUGUCUUCGCCAUAUAUCACAUAUGACUUGACCCGUCGAGCGAUACGACGGGCCUCUGACCGAUCUUCUGGCAGCUCGCCAUAGAUUAGGCAGUUGAGGUAUGGUGUGCGCCAGUCGAACGGUCGGCCAAGCUGUCGUUCUACCUCCAUCACUUCAGCCGCCAUCAAGAGUGUGUCGACGGUGUUGGUUGGCUGGGCAGGAGCUGCAUCGACGCCAGCCCCCGAGCCUAAGUCGACGGAUGGCUCGUAGAGAUCUCUCGAGAACGCGUCAGGUGGCACCGUGCCUCGAGUCGAUGCGAUCUUGGCGAGUUCGUCGGCUGCCUCGUUGUAGCGUCGGGCGACAUGGACAAGCUCAAGACCAUAGAAUUUGUCCUCGAGUCGACGGACUUCUUUGCAGUAUACUUCCAUUUUCGGGUCGUGGCAGCUCGAGGUUUUCAUUACUUGGUUGAUGACGAGCUGGGAGUCACCUCGGACGUCGAGGAGUCGGACUCCUAACUCGAUAGCGAUCUUCAGACCAUUGACGAGGGCCUCAUAUUCUGCGACGUUGUUAGAUGUGGCAAAAUGAAUCCUGAUUAUAUACCUCAUGUGGACGCCCAAGGGUGAGAUGAACAGUAGGCCGGCCCCGGCCCCAGUUUUCAUGAGUGACCCGUCGAAAUACAUCGUCCACAGCUCCGCCUGGACCUGAGUCGGGGGAAGCUGGGAGUCCGUCCAUUCCGCGACGAAGUCUACCAGGGCUUGCGAUUUGAUGGCCUUCCGUGGUGCGUAAGUGAGAGUCUCACUCAUGAGCUCGACCGACCACUUAGCUAUUCUUCCUGUGGCCUCCUUGCUCUAGAUUAUCUCACCCAAAGGGAAAGACGUAACCACUGUGAUGGGGUGACCAAGGAAGUAAUGCUGCAGCUUGCGGCGGGCGAGGAUUACGGCGUAGAUCAGCUUCUGUAUUUGGGGGUAACGCGCCUUGGUCUCCGGAAGCACCUCGCUGAUGAAAUAGACUGGCCUUUGGACCGGCAACGCAUGACCCUCCUCCUGUCUUUCAACUACCACUGCCGCAAUGACGACCUGGGUAGUUGACGCGACGUAGAGGAGUAGCAGCUCUGCAGGUUGAGGCGGAACCAGGACUGGCGCCGAGGUCAGCGUAUUCUUCAGUCUUUCGAGCGCUUCCUCGGCCUCGGGGGUCCAAGAAAAGCGCUCGACCUUCUUCAGGAGUCGAUACAAUGGUAACGCCUUUUCUCCUAGUCUCGAGAUGAAACGGCUCAGAGCCGCAAGGCAUCCCGUGACUCUAUGCACGCCCUUGAUGUCUCGGAUCGGCCCCAUUCUUGUGAUGGCCGAGACUUUCUCGGGGGUGGCCUCGAUGCCGCGCUGCGAGACGAUGUAGCCUAGGAGCAUGCCUCGAGGCACACCGAAAACACAUUUCUCGGGAUUGAGUUUGAUCCGGUUGGUGCGUAAGCAGCUAAAAGCGAUCUCGAGGUCCUAGAUCAGGUCUCCUCGCCGCUUUGAUUUGACAACAAUGUCGUCGACGUAGGCCUCGACCGUCGACCCUAUGUGUUCGCCAAAUACGUGGAGCAUGCAACGUUGGUACGUGGCUCCCGCGUUUCGAAGCCCAAAUGGCAUGGUCACGUAGCAAUACAUCCCAAAAGGGGUGAUGAAAGAGGUCCCGAGCUGGUCGGACUCUUUCAUUUUUAUUUGGUGGUAACCAGAAUAUGCAUCAAGAAAAGAAAGGGUUUCACAUCCCGCGGUAGAAUCGACAAUCUGAUCAAUACGUGGCAAUGGAAAAGGAACUUUUGGACAUGCCUUAUUUAGACUAGUAUAAUCGACACACAUCCUCAUUUUCCCAUUCUUUUUCUUAACUAAUACAGGGUUUGCUAACCAGUCGGGAUGAUGAACCUCCUUGAUGAAUUCGGCCGUCAAAAGCUUCUGGACUUCCUCGCCAAUGACCUUGCGCUUCUCCUCAUCGAAUCGGCGCAACCGCUGCUUCACUGGCUUGGAACCGGCUCGAAUCUCCAAGGAGUGCUCGGCGACUUCCCUCGGUAUGCCUGGCAUGUCCGAGGGACUCCAUGCAAACAUGUCGGCGUUUGCACGGAGAAAGUCGACGAGCACAGCUUCCUAUUUGGGGUCGAGGUCAGCGCUGAUCGUCAGCACCUUGCCGUCGGAGUUGUUGGGGUCGAGCGGGAUCUUCUUGGUUCCUUCUGCCGCCUCGAAGCUGCCCGCGUGGCGCUUAGGCUCUGGAGCCUCAGCGGCCAGGGCCUCGAGUUUCGUGACGAGCUCGGUGGAGUUCUCGACCGCCUCCCCGUACUCGACGCACUCGACAUCGCACUCGUACGCGUGCUCGAAAGAAGAACUGACAGUGAUGACGCCUUUGGGUCCUGGCAUCUUCAGCUUCAAGUAGGUAUAGUUGGGUAUAGCCAUGAACUUGGCAUAGCCCGGGCGCCCGAUGAUGGCGUGGUACGUGCCUCGGAAUCCGACGACCUCAAAGGUGAGGGUCUCCUUCCUGAAGUUGGCCGCCGUGCCAAAGCAGACCGGUAAGUCAAUUCGUCCUACUGGCAGUGCCUUUUUCCCUGGCACGACGCCAUGGAAGCCGCCGGCGCUUGGUUGGAGCUUCCCUCUAUCUAUGCCGAGGAGGUCGAGGGUCUCGAGGUAGAUGAUGUUGAGGCUACUGCCACCGUCCAUCAGCACCUUUGAGAGCCGGGUGUUGAUGAUGAUGGGGUCGACGACAAGCGGGUAGACGCCUGGGGCGACUACCUUGUCGGGGUGGUCUUCUCGGUCGAAAGUGAUAGGUGUGCUUGACCAGCUAAGGUACUGGGGCACCACCAUUCUUGCCGUGAAGACCUCCCGACGCUCCCUUUUGCGCUGCCUCGUGGUCAACUGAGUCAAGGGCCCGCCAUAAAUCAUGUAGCAGUCGUGGACGGCGGGGAAGCCGUCGUCAUCUUUGUCGUCCUCCUUAUUGCCACCCUUCUCUUUUUUGGAGUCGUCACGCACAUCUUUCUUGAACCCCAGACCGUCGAAAUGUUUUUUCAACAUGCGACAGUCCUUGAGCUUGUGGUUGGCGCCUCCCUUAUGGUAAGGGCACGGCUCCUCCAGCAUCUUGUCGAAGAUGCCUCCAUCUGGAGGGCCUCGAGGUUUCUUUCGAUCCAUGGCGGCGACAAGGUUGUCAUCGGAAUCCUCCCGGUGGAACCGCCGUUCUUUCUGCUUCUUUUUGUUUUUCUUGAGGCCUUGACUGGGGGUCCCAUCUUCAUCGACGGGCUGCUUGUCUUUUCUCCCUUCAGAGCCGAAGAAGGCGCCGACUGCCUCCUCCCCUGCCGCAUAGUUGGCUACUAUGUCCAUCAGCUCGUCGACGGUCUGAGGUCGAUUGCGACCUAAUUCCCGCACCAAGUCUCGACUGGUAGUGCCCGAGACGAACGCCAAGAUGACGUCGUGGUCAGGGAUGUGCGGCAGCUCAGUGCGCUGCUUCGAGAAGCGUCGAGCAUACUCUCAAAGAGUUUCUCCUGACUUCUGUUUGCACUUGCUGAGGUCCCACGAGUUCCCAGGCCGUAUGUAGGUCCCUUUGAAGUUUCCCUCGAAGACUCUAACCAGAUCAACCCAGUUGUGGAUCUGAUCAGCGGGGAGUUCCUCGAGCCAUCGACGGGCGGUGUCGGAGAGGAAAAGCGGGAGUUGCCUGAUGAUAGCUCGAUCGUCUCCUCGAGCUCCCCCCAACUGACAUGCCAGCCUAAAGUCGGCUAACCAUAAUUCCGGUUUGGUUUCGCCGUUGUAUUUCGCGACGCUGGUUGGGGGUCGAAAUGGACUGGGCAGGGGCGUGCUGCGGAUCGCCCUGCUGAAAACCCGUGGGCCCGGUGGCUCGGGAGCCACCCGAUCUUCGUCGCUGUCGUACCUGCCACCGCGAUGUGCGCUGUAACCGCGCUCUUCCGCGUCCCCGUACCGGCGGCGUCGAUUCUCCUCGAUGUCGUGCCGUGCGUCGUGUCAACGCUGGUUGUCAACAGGGGGAUGAGGGCGGUCUUUCUGCCUCGAGGUGGAGGUUGCUGAUGGACUGACACCUCCUUUUCGUUUUGAGGCUGCUCGUCGCGCUUCUCCGUGGCAGCCCCUCGCCAUCGAGAAGCUGAGCUUUCGGCUUGUUGAACCGCCGCCACCUGGAGCAAUGUCUGUACCUCAUCUUGAAUGCAUCGAGCCUGGGAGUUCGAUGGCUCUGGCAUGUUAUGUAGUAGCAUCGUUGCUGCCACUACGUUCUGGCCUGCUCGAGGGAAACGGCUGACAGGUUGCUCUGGCUCUGCGUCACCGACGAUCUGUCGAUGUACCUCUCGAGCGCGUCUGCGGACACUCCCGCCCGGCGGGUAGGGCAGGUCUUGCUCAAGGAUUUGCUCGAGCAGGACGAGGCACUCGCGGUAUUCGUCGAGCUUCAUCUUGAGCUCCCGCAGCUGCGCGAGCUGCGCGGUUCUGUCUUCCUGUGUAGGGGGGUUGACCUGUCCGUCGUUCCCAGGCGUCCUGGGGUCUUCUCGUGCCACGGGGGCUCGACCGCCCGCAGCAGCAUCCUGUGUCUCGUCGGUAGUUUCUACCGCCCCGUCAACGUGAUAGCAUUCCCUUGUAGGGUCGUAGCUAUCUGUCUCGGAGUCGGAGUCUGGUUUGGCGGCGUAGAAACACUCACGUCCCUCCUCCAGCAAUCGCUAUCUGAGGGAGGUGAUCGUGUAUCGUCCAGGGCCUAGACGACGGAGGCCUCGUACCUGGGAAAGGUCCGGCUGCUCGGGCGCCGGCCGCCGCGCGCCAGAGCUACGCGGGAGGACCAUUAGUCUUUCUACGUUCAUCUAGGCGUUUGGGCAUAUCGCCCUGGCGAGCGAUGCCGCGGCGUUGUCCAAUCCGAAUGGCAGUGCCGUUCUCGGAGCGAACAACCCGUGUGGAAGUAGCCUAGCAGCGGUGGGGGAGAACGCGCGAGACGCGUCCCCUCCCGUCGUUGUGCGGUGCUGAGCCGUCGCGCUUGAUGCCCCGUCGCACGGCGCUGCCGACCUGUGGCCCGCUUCCUGCCUUGCACGAGUUGUUGGUCGUGAUGAGGCAGAGGGGCCGCGGUGAUGAUGUCCGCGCCUCUUCUUAGGCGGGGAGGCGUGGUGGUGUGGACGUCUCGGGGCUCCCGAUCGUGCUGGCGCGACGCGGGCUCCUCCUGGUCCUCUGACUGAGAGCAAGAUCAUGUCGUAACCGGAGCCCGUAGACAUGAAGUCGAGACUUCCGAACCAAAUCACCGUGGAGCGCGGAAUCGGCGAGGCGAGAGUAGCCAUCUGGAAAGGAGUGGGAAAUCGAUGAAAAACACGCAGGACCCCUACCUGGCGCGCCAACUGUCGGUGUUUUCCCCACGGGGUGUCACACCAACGAGUAAAUUUGUAUGCGUGCUCCCUUUCCCAGAUGGUGAUGCAAGAAGACACAGGGAUUUAUCCUGGUUCGGGCAAGAGAAGGCCCUACGUCCAGCGGGGGGAGGAGAGUUUGUAUUAUCUUGCACCUAAGUGCUUGUACAGGGGUGAAUACAAGCGUGGUAUGAAGUGUGGAGCUCUACUACGUAUGAGCGUGGUCUUGUGUCGUGAUGUCCCCGCUGUUCUAUUCCUGAGUCCCUCCUUUUAUAGUUCCAAGGAGAGACCCAAGGUACAUGUAUAGGCGUCAGAAUAGAAGUCGAUAGCAGUAUGGAGCGCUGACCUACUCGAGGCUUCCGUACCGGCAUGGCCUCGAGCCGUCCCGUCUUAAUAGUCUGGUGAUGAUUACGCGUGCCUCUGCAUUCUGCUCUGCGCGCCGUCUUGGAUUGGUUCGACGGGUGCACGCUUGUAUGAUCCGGCGGCAAAUCCGGCGGAGUGGUUGGGAUGUAGCCAGUCGACGCCCAACCCGUCCCCUGGAAGGAUCUCUGUCUGGUCGAGGGUCAGAUGCCGUACAUUGUGCUGAUAUCUGGAGCGCUGACUUUAGACGUCUCGAGGGGGUCCCGAUUAGACGUCCCAUCCUUGUUUCCCGCGCCCUGUCGUGCCCUGGGUCGUUCAGCGGGAAGGCUACAAAAAGAUCGUUGGGACGGAAGCCUGUUCCCUAUCACGCUUCCCGUGACCUGUGUGUUAGGUGGGGAAGCAUUAGGCGCCUUUAAUGCUCCGGCCCGCGUGCGCGCGUCAGGCGGCGGGCGGCGUCCUUGCGCUCGACGCCCCCCGGUUCGCGUGAGCCUGUUCCGUAUUCGACGGUAACCGGCGCUCGACGCCUGAUCGAUUCGCUCGACGCUAUUUCCGUCUUCGAGGUUGCGGCCGUCGAUGGCGGCGCAUACGUAAGAUUAGAGCGUCGAAUUGAGGGCCUCGACCGUCGUACGAGCAAUCUCGUAAUGCGCAUCGCUGAGGGUACCCCUUACCGAUACCCUCGACAGGUAGUAACAAGAUAACUUGAGCAUUUAUUUCACAAGGGGAAACAGAAAUAUUUUUGGUUAUUCUCUCUCGGAUUAGGAGCAGAAUAUUUUUGGGUGAUUCUGGAGAUGGAAAUGGAUGGAUAUAUGUGGAUGGUACUUCCGGAGUAGAAGUAGCAUAUAUGAGUGAACGUGCAAGUGAAAUCUUGAUUUAACCACAUGACAAGCUCCUAAGGGUCUACACAGCUUGACCACACUCAAUGCUCAUAAGCAGUAAAUAGUAAAUGUGUGGCUCAAAGUCUAGCAAGCAUGUAUAUAUGGCUGUGGUAGGAAUUUAAGCUCUCAUCAUACAGGAACUCAUCAUGCAACAUUUUAAAGAUUUUCAAAGAUAAAAUUCUCCAGAAUUCUAGCAUCUCUAGGAACAGAUAAACAGCAGCUCAACCUUCCCAUAUCGUAUCCGUUAACAACUUAGACUUCAGAUCAAGUUUUCAUCCCACAAGUUUAGGUCUAGGGCAAGCUUUAAAUUAUAACAGUUAUAUCUAAACUUGAGAGAGAACUUAAAAUUUGCAAAUUAGACAGAGCAACUAUUUAUCAUAUCCAUGCUUAAGUUUUAUUUAGAUACAGAUUAGCAUAGCCACUUAAACACACUAAGCAAAAGACAUAUAUAAGCAUAAAAUCUUUAUUUGGUUUUCCCAUAGUUUAUGUGUAUUUUAAUAUUCUAAAAUAAUAUAAGUAUAAAAAUAGAUAGAAAUACUUAUCGAGGUAAAUGGGGGUGCUCUCCCCCAAGCUGAAUUUUGACGUAAUUUCUCUUAAUGUAGCUAGCAGGUGGCAGAGGUGUAUUUGAAAGUCAGCAGUAUUCUGACAGCGAUUAGAAUGUCCUCCAUCUGCCAGUCUUCUUGAUUCUUAAAUUCUGUGGAGCUCAAAUAGACAACAUAGCUUGUGGAACUGAUUAAGUGUUAGCAUAAAUAUCUAGCCUUUAUCAUGUUGAGACUUCUUAAUAAUUGUUACUCCCUGUUUUUAUAUUUUUUUUAUUUUAUAAAGCAGAAAUGAAAUAUUUAUUUUAUUUUGAUGCCACCACAGUGAAUGUACUUAUGGGUUUUAUGCCACUCGUCCACUCACAUGGGGCUUACAGUUUUUUUCACCUUUUUAUUUUCUUUUUAGGAUAGUGCGAACAUGAUUAACUAAGUAAACUAAUUGAAAUAAUUAAAAGGAAAAGGGUAACUACCAAGUUUACCUCUUGGCAGGGCGUUCGGUGUUUUUAAGUCCUCCGAACGGGACUCUCCAAUUUCUUAAUCGUCCUGAGGUUCGUUGGGUGGCGAAGUCGGUACUUCCGGUAGCGCCUCCUCUUCAUGUAUAGUUAUCUUCAUUUUCCAUACCUGACUCGGUGCUUCAAUCUCCUCUGGAUAAUUUUGUUUAAACUCUACGUCUUCUGACCUUACAACUUCUCCUUCAUAGUCUGCCCAUCCGUCCUUGAUGAUUUGCCUCCUCUGGUUGCAGUUGCGUCUCUUUCUGACCUGCUUAGAUUCUUCAAUGAUAUAGUUAGGGUCAGUAAAAUAACGGCGUACCUUCUCUGAGGGGAAGUGCAUAUGGACUUCUCCGGUUCCAAUGUAGAUAAUUGCUUUAACGGUGCUGAGGAACGGUCUUCCAAGGAUGAUGGGUGGAUCAUACUCGUCUUCUCCCAUGUCAACAACUUGAAAGUCUGUGUAGACAAAGUGUUUAUCUAUUUUGACUGGGACAUCAGAUACUAUCCCUUGAACUUCUCGAAAUGUCUGAUCUGCCAUCUGGAGCUGAAUGUAUGUUGGUCUUAGUGGCAUGGUCCCGAACAAGAGCCGAUAAGUGACUGCGGCCAUUAUGUUGACGCCCGAUCCGGUGUCGCAAAUCGUCUUGUAGAAGUUAUAUCCAUUUAUGGAGUAGUAGAUGCUUGGCAUUCCUGGGUCAUCCUUCUUGGUCAAAAACGGUGACUUAAGUUGGUGAUCUUGGCCUCCAUGGACUACAGUGAGCAUCUUAGCUGACUCGGUCCACACUUGCUUGUUCCUGUUUCUCCUGUUGGUCCUCUUCCUUGAUUCACGUCUGGAUUGAUCUGGAAUUUGUGUAGUCUUGUUCUUGAAGAAAAAUGUCUCCUUCUUCCCUUUGACGUAGAAACUGAUCUUGGCAGCACUGGCGUAGAUGAUAGCUCCCGUGGUGUUCAAAAAUGGCCUUCCUAGGAUGAUAGGUGCUCUCUCAUCAUUUCCGGUCUCUACCACUACGAAGUCUGCUGGGGCAUACAAGGUACCAACUCGGACACAAAGGUUCCUCGCUAUUCCUUUUGGAAAAGUUAUCAUCUGAUCUGCAAACUGCAAAGACAUGGUUGUCUCUAAUAAAGGAUAUGUAAAGAGCUUCUCAUAGAGUACCCUGGGUAUAAUGUUGACGCUAGAGCCAAAGUCACAGAGUGCUUCUGGAACGUCCACCAUGCCGAUGGAGAUCGGGAUGACGGGGCGUCCUGGAUCGCCUCUCUUGACCGGCAGACGGUCAGUAGAAAAUUCAGUGACGGGGUUACUCCAAUUACCUGCAUCAAACACGUCUACAAGAUUUGCAGAUUCUAAUCCUUCCGGUUGUGAUGGUAUACCGGGGUUAGUAGUAGGAACAGCAGCAGCAAUUUGAUUUAACUGAGAUUCAAUCAUUUUAUUAAAGCUAAUUUGAUUCUUGAUGGCAGUAGAGAAAUUAUCCAUUCUAUUAUUUAUAUUUUCUAGCAUUUUAUCAUUUGAUGCCAAUUUCUUGGACAGGUUAUCCAUUAGCUUUCCUUGAUUAGACACUAACUCUCUCAAAGGUGGAAAAUUAUUAUUAUUGUUGUAAGAAUUGUUACCUUGAUAAUUACCUGAGUAGUUAGGCCUCUGUUGAUUCCAACCUUGAUUUUGUUGAGGACGGUUGUAGUAGUAGUUGUUGUUGUUGUUGAUGUAGUUCACAUCCUCAAGCAUCUCAGGGCAGUGGUUGCCUGAGUGUCCAGUGUCUCCACACUCCUCACAAGUCAUGUGAGAGUCGUAGAUGUGCAUAACUUCUUUCUUGUCUCCAGCUCUAUCAUCGAGCUUCUUCAUGAGCAGGUCUAGCUUUGCAGACAGCAUGUCUACCUCCUUCAGCUGAUGCAUACCUCCACCUCUCUUGCGUGUCUGGGUCCUCUCUUCAUUCCAGCUUUGGUUGGACGCCAUCUUCUCCACAAGAGCUGUGGCUUGUGGUAUAGUAAGUGAUAAGAAUGCUCCUCCAGCUGCAGCAUCCAUGGUCUCUCGGGCACUGUUGCUGAGCCCAUGAUAGAACGUUUGCAUCAAUAGCCAACUCUCCAUUCCAUGAUGGGGACAUUCUAGGAUGUAGUCUUGAAAGCGCUCCCAUGCUUCUGGAACAGAUUCAUCAUUUUGUUGCUGAAAACUUGUAAUCUUCCCAUGGAGAGCAUUGGUCUUGCCCAUGGGAAAGAACUUAGCCAGGAAGUUUGUUGAGCAGAGUGCCCACGUAGUAUUCUUCUCCUUUGUAGCGUAGAACCACUGCUUCGCUCUUCCUAACAGUGAGAAUGGGAAGAGGCGAAGUAGUAUAGCGUCUUUGGAAACUCCUGCUAUGGUGAAUGUGUUGCAAAUCUCCGGGAAGUGUUGUAAAUGAGCACUAGCAUCUUCGUGUGCCUUCCCACAGAACUGGUUGGAUUGCACCAUGUUGAUAAGUCCAGGCUUGAGCUCAAAGUUGCCAUCGAUCUCUGCAGCAGGUCUAGUGCGGAUGUUGUUCGUAGUGCGAGCUGAGAACUCGCGGAUCAAUUUGUUCGCCAUGGCUUCGAACUCUGAAGACAAGUUCCGGUGAUCUUCUUGAUUGGAUGAAGCUUCUUGCUGAAGUGUUGAUGAUUUCUUUAGCUUGGCUCUCAUCUUCUUGAAUAAUGCUUCAGGAUUGUCAACAAAAUUCCCUGGAAGAUGUCUUCUAUUCAUACAUUCCCCUGCAUAAGAUAAAAUAGAAAAAUAUCGGGGUAAAACUGUAUGAGAGAAUAGAUAAGCUCAAUCAUAUUAGUCAUGCGAAUGAUAACUCAAAAUCUUUUAUUCCAUUCCUGAUUGGUAAUCAACCUUCUCCGGCAACGGCGCCAAAAAUGCUUGUUGGGUAUUCUUAACAUCAUUACUAAAAGUAGACUAAGUUCUAAAUCUAGCAACGGUGCCAAAAAUGCCAAACCUAUCCCUCACACCACUUAAGCCAAGUUGUCAUCCCCAGCAUGAUAUAAGAGACGCGGUAUUGAAAUAUGCAAUUGCUCUUCUAAAUAAAUAAUGAAUUGGAUCUGCAAGCGCACAGAUUAAUACCGAUGUAGCAUUUUAACCGGGAAGUAUUCCAGGUAUCGUUAUUUAUAUUUUUACCACUGGGAAGGGAUUAGCAAUCAUCACUAAUGAUUACAGAAUAGAAUAUGAGAUUGAGCAUCUAUCAUUGCAUGUAAAAUUGAGAACAUUAUAUCUAACUCUUCAUACAGGGAUAAGUGUCACAUAAAAGAUAUAUGAAAUAAUAAUAGUGACAAGGAUAACUAAUCUGAUCUAGCCACAUAAUAAAUAUGAUAAGCACCUCAACUAGAUACUCUAGAAAGUCAUUAGAAUGGUAUUAGAACGAACUACAAGAAUAUUCCCUAAGUUAUUCUCAACUAUAUAGUCGAGCAUAUCAUAGUUAGUGCAAGCAUACUUAGCAAUCAUUGCGAGACAAGACUACGCCAAUGCAUAGUGAUAUUAGCAAGGAAUAUGAGAAACAUAGCAAUCACUCCCCUGUAAUAAUGUUGCUCUGCCAGCCCAAUACAUGAGAGGGGGACUAUAUAAGAAUCAAUGAAGCUGUCACUAUCACGAACCACCCCACGAUCUGGCAUAUUGGGUACAAUCGCAGAUAAAUACGGUAUAAGCACCACGCCUACACAAUAUCUAUCAUUUACCCAUGGAUCCGAUGGAUAAAUGCUAUACGAUCUAAGCAUGUAUAUAGAUCCAAUCUAACUAAGCCAAGUACAUAACUAUGAUAAACUAAGAACAAUAUAAUUUUGAAUAUAAGCAAGUAGAGCAAAGUCAUAAGCAAUAUAUUGAAGUAGAACAAAGUCAUAUUCAUAAUAUUGAAGAACAAAGAUAAUUAGAAAGCAAUUAGAAGCACAAUUAGAGAAUUACCAAGAAUCCUCUUGACAGAUCCGGAAACCAAUCGAAGAUUGACUCUUUCUAGUUCUAAUCCUAUGUAGCUAUGCUAAUCUAGAUAUCUAAUUGAUGUGGUGGCUCUAAUCUUGAUCAGAGGCUUCUUCUCCCUUGAUGGAACAAUGAAUUAGGGUUGAGAGGCUCUCUCCUCCAGGGGCCAGGGGGUCUGGUUUUAUAGUCCCUUCAAGUGAAUAUGGGCCCUUGGAUCAAACCGACAUAGAUUGUAUGGUUUAGAUUCAUCCUUUAGGUCGGUGGAGAUCUCCCGCAAAGCAGAGUCCUGAUUGGACUCAGGAGGUGGGCGGGCGCCCUGACCAACUGGGCGGCCGCCCAGGGUCUGGCCCCGUUUCGCCUCCGCUUCGGUCUCGUGGCUUCUGGAGUCUUCUAGAUGUAAGAUAAUUGCGCAGCACGUUAAUAUCUUUACGUAAUCCCGACAUGUGGGCCUUUCUUCCGUAUUUCCUGAUAACCCCCUGCAGAAAUAGACAAACACCAAAACUCGUGGAAUUCUGUCAGAUAAAACCCUAAGUCUAGAUCUUAAUUUCAUUUGGAUCCUUUUCUUUAUUUAUUUGAUAAUUAAAUUUGAUACUUAAGGACCGUCAACACCACAUCAUUUAGAGUGCUAAAGUGCUUAGGGUAGGGGUCGGUCGACCCCUACAUUGGCCAAUCUCUGUAAAAUAGUUCAUAUAUGUUGCAAGAUUCCCUGCCAUGAUUCAAAAUUUUGAAACAUAGUGCUUAUGGGGAGGUCGGUCGACCCCCACAUUGGGGUGUUCACCACUUGCCCUUCUUUCCCUAUAAAUACCCAUGCAUUGUGAGCUCAUUUCCACACCCAAAACCACAAAAAUUAUCUCGAGCUCACAAUCCCUCUUCUCUCUUCUUAGUUGCAUGAUAUUUCUCAAGAUUAGAAUAGUUGUCUAGAAAAAAAAAAUAUUUAGUAUUGCAUAGGAGUAGAAGUAGAAAAAGUUUGGUUGUUUGUGUUGUGUAGGAAAAUGGAGAAAACAUUCCUCUCCUGAAGUCCAAAGGGGUUGAGUGUUGUUCUCAAAGCUCUCACCACUCUAUUGAGGGAAGCCAUGACAGGAUGGAGGAAGGUGAGAGUCACCAUCAAGUGGUGCUCUAUGAACCUCCUCCAAGAGCAGUGGAGUCUGAUGAAUGAACUCAUGUUAACACCGGGAGAGCUAUCAAGUUCAACAACCUAAAGGAGAGCGGUUUCCGCCAUACAAGCAUCCUCAACCCGGCCCUUGUGGACCACACAGGUAUGACUAAAGAAUUCAAUGAUAUUUGAAUACCAUUGGUUUGGGAGGUUUUUAUUGAGUACCUUAAACUUGGUAUAGAAGUGCUCACUAAAGAAUUUUUAUGCACACUAAAAUUGACUCAUAACAUUUCGCAUGUGUGGGCAAGAGUGUAGCUGUACUUGGGGUCUUCUAACCACCGCUCUAGGUUGUGACUUUGAUUGUACAAUUGACUUAGACACUACCAUGACUGGAUUUAACAAGAGUAUUUUUUGAUGAUUGCUCUGUGGAUAUUUGGGAACGCAAUAAGGAAUUGAUCCGCAAGCGCACGGAUAUCGGUGAGCACUUCACCCGGGAGGUUAUCCAGAGUAUCGUAUUUAUUUUUUUACCACUAGGAGAAAGAGUGCAUCUGACUAACCCGGUCUAUUACUACUAACCCUUUAGGCAACAAAGAAUGUUUCUCGAUGUGAGUGAUAAAUAGAGAAGACUACAACCGUAAUCUCCUUCUAACCUUGGUAAGGAUGAUCUACUGUUCUAUUGGGGAGGCUAACGGAAUCUAGACACCACAAAGGAUGUUCAAUCCGCACCUAUAAACCCUAUCCUUCCUGCUAACGAGAUAUGGUCUGCAAAGGUAACUCGGAAAUGUCACUACAAGAAUCCUGUGAUUUUUUGACUUUCCAUUUAUGUCAUUACAUAUGAAAAUAAUGUCAUAACAUAAGAGUUGUGACAAUUAGUUGACAAAAAACUAUAUGUCAAAAAAUCACUGUCAUAAAUGGAUCAUGUGACAUCUGUAUAUUCUUUGUCAUAAGGUAUGACAUUGGUUAUUGUCAUAAUAUCUGAGACCUCGCCAUGCCAAAAAUUCUAAUUAGUGACGCGUCUAGAGGCUCAUUAGUGACGCAUAUAGCCAAACUGCGUCUCUGAUAACAGUUUGCAAAAACAAAAAAAAAAGAAAUCUAGAUCCACAGUGUACAUUUUUGAAUCCCAUGUUUCACAAUAUGAUAUAUUUCACACCAGUACACACAUAGUUCACACUUCACAGUAUAUACAGAAAGUUCUUAUGAUCAAAAUACACAACAAUGUUGAACUGUAAGUAAUUGCAUAGAGUAUCCUCCAGAACUACAAAGUAAUGGUUGCUUUAUAGAAUAAAUGUCUAUACAUAUACCUCCUAGCUACUUCCUUUCCUCUCAGCUCAAUGUAGGCCAACCGAUCCUAGGCUACAACAAAACAGCAGACAGUUAAUUAAAGAAAUAAAUGUAAGAAAGUCAUUAUGCUAAAUUGUUUUCUAUAAAACAGCAGGUCGAGGUGCAUAGCAUACAUAGUGAAUGAUCUCUAAUGGCAAAUAUACUUCCUAGUAUGUAAACAUAUUAUCAAUGAAUAUGCAAAUAUACCAUUCAUGACAACCCCGACUAUUUAUCUAUGGUUUAGUAAUUGGAAUUUUACAAGCUGAAAAAUAGACCAACAACAAAAACUAGUUAAACUAAAUUUCAACACACAAAUAAUGGAGACAAAAGGUUGGUGCCUGAAAGAAGGAACAAUGAGUAUGCCCACCCAAUUAUGUAGGUGCAUUGCAAAUCUGCAUGGUGCUUCGCCAAGCUACCAAAUAGAAAGAACAAAUUCAAUUCUACUACUCUAAUAAAAUAGCUGCUGGCGCAACGAGAAAGCCAAGGUGACGAACUGACCUUCACAAUGUCGCCAACAUUUUUACAAUCCCAGUCAGGCGAGUGCCCCCGGUCUCGGACCCUCUCCCUCCUCCUGUAUCUCUCUCCUCCUCUGCUCGCCUUGCCCCCUCUCUGGUGCGGCCGUCAGGGGAUCUGGAUGAGGUGGCGGCGCCAUCCAGAUCUGGAGCAGGGAGGCAGCGGCGCAGCGCCUGCCAUGUCUGAGUGGAGGGAGGAGGACGAUGACGGCGCCCGCUGCCCAGGCCCUCGCCAGCGCCCGCGAAUGCUCCCUCGUCGGAGCCCGCUGCCUAGACCCUCGCCGGCGCCCGCGAAUGCUCCCUCGUCGGCAUCCGCUGCCCAGGCCCUCACCGGCGCCCGCUGGACGCCCCCCUCUCCAGUAACCGCUGGAUCCGCCCCUCGCCGACGCGCACUGGACGCGCCCCUCGCCGGCGCCUGGUGGACUCGCAAAUGCAGUGGGCGUGCGGUGGCAAAGUCUAGAGUGGGCGAGCAACAAGUCCACGAGUCCACGGCCUGGCUAUGUGCCUUAGCUACUCAUAUUUGAAUAAAUAUAAUUAUAUACGCUAAUUAAGCAAAACAACUUGCCUUGCUCAGUGGUAAAUAGGUUCGAACCCUCCUUGCUACAAUAUUUUUUAUGGAAUGGCAUUUUUCUAGAAACAGAAAUCAGGUUGACAAAAAAACAGAGCAAAAAGAAAAAAAAAUCUACCAACGUGGAAUUAGACAUGCCAACAUGGACAAGAGUAUUUUAAAUAUUUAUAAAAAUAUUUUUUGGCACCCAACCUAUGUCAAUUUUUUUUGACAUUUAUAUAUUAGGCCUCAUGACAUAGUGAAUAUUGUCAUAGUAUGAAAUUAUAAUAGUUCUAUGACAUUUAUUAUGACAUCCAGCUUUUUUAUGUCACUAGGUCAAAAUGCCUAUUACUGAAUGUCAUAAUCUGGAUGAUAUAAUGACAUCAUGGUCUAUUGUCAUACUAAAUAUGUCAAAAAAUCAUGCAUUUCUUGUAGUGUGUCACGUUCCUCGCUACUACCACGGUCUAGCUAGUCAGGGAAUAUCUAUGAAUAUCCUAGCUUAAACACCACGUCUACGCUAGAGAUGAUUACUCUAAACUCUACGCGAAGAGAUUAAAGUAAACUCAUAAACCAAAAGAACAAUAAAACAAGAACUUACUAGAAGUUGAAAUACUGAAGAAUCCUAGGAGCAAGCCUCGGGUUAGCAGAACUUGAUCCCGCAGGUACAAGCUCGGAGUAGACACCGACAGGCCGGCCUUCCUCCGAUCUACACCUCCACUCUAUCUCUCUCAAUCUAGUAGAAACUAGAAGAUCUAUUUCUACUCACAUUGGUUGCUAAGCCUAAAAGAAAUUUUAUUUAGAGAAGAGGUUUUCCUUCGAGGGCUCCCCUCAACUCUAUGAUAAACUUGUCUCCUCGAGGAGCCAGGGGGUCUAGUUUUAUAGUCCCCUCAAGUGAACGUGAGCCAUUGGAUCAAACCGACAUUGAUUGGACGGUUAUCCUUGAUCCUUUAGGUCGGUGGAACGUCGUGUGCGAAAAGAAUCCUGAUUGGAGUACAGAGGGGGGCGGGCGCCCAGGUCCUCAGGGCGGGCGCCCUUGGCCUGGCCCCUUUCGGCCUCUGCUUCGUUCUUGUGGCUUCUGGAGUCUUCUAGAUGGUAGAAAAUUACGCGGUGCGUUGAUAUCUCUAUGUAAUCCAGACAUGUGGGCCUUUCUUCCUUAUUUCCUGAUAACUCCCUGCAGAAACAGAUAAACAACAAAACUCGUGGAAUUCUGUCAGAUCAAACCCUAAUUCUAGGUAUUGUUUGUAUAUUGGUCCUUUCUCUUGUUUAUUUGAUAAUUAAAAUUGAUACUUAAGAACCGUCAACAAAUACCCCCAUACUUAGGCUUUUACUCGUCCUCGAGAAAAGGAUGGUUAAGACCAAUAUCUGGGAUAAAACAUUUAAAAUAUUCUCUUCAUAACUGCAGGGUGUUAAAAUCCACUGUGAACUAUAGUCAGGGAAGUAUAUGGUUAAGAGUAGAGAUCAUUUCUUCUCAAUCCUGUUACUUGGAGUUUUUGUAUAUUUUUGAAAGAAAGUUAGCAUACCUUUUAUCCUCAUAGGUCUUCUCAGAUCACUCAUUAUCUUUUAUAUAUCUCACUGAGGCUGUUUUAAUUUGAAAAAAUUCUCAAGCAUACUUACUUUGUAUUUAUUGCCUGGUCAAAAUAGGAUCCGAGGAGGGGAAUGUCAUACUCUUAGAUCAAAGACUUUGGAAAUUAAAAAACUUGUCAACUCUUGCUGGCAUAUUGCUUAUUAGAGGGACCAUGGGCUAUCAUUUUCUUCUUUUCUCUUCUUUUUUUUAAGUGGAUACCGAGAUACCCCUAAUUCUACUGCUGGACACUAGUCCAUUUUUCUGAGAGGUUAUCGAGCACUUGCUCCUUUUUAUUUCCUCAAAAUAUCUUUAUUUUUGCAUAGCCCAUGCCUCUAAUGCAAUAAUACUUUGGAAGAGUGAAUCUUUCUGAAUAAAUGUCUUGAUCUUAGGAGCAUGAUAAAUCUCUCAACAAGGGUCUAACUCAUUUUGAACAAACUCAAUAUAGAGUAGAUAGCUUUUAUAAUCAUAACUAAUAUUUUCAGUUUUAUCAGGCAUAUAAAACACUGAGGAUGGUAGCUAGAAUUUUGAAGAUUUUGAAAUAAAUUGUCCAAGCAACAUUGAUAUCAAGAAUAAGAAACUCAUACUUUACCAUUCCACACUGACUUAAGUAACACAGGGUUUUAAAACUUUUUUCAAUAAUUGCAAGUUUCAGAAAAUAUCACAGAGUGAGAUUGAUCAUAUUUAGAAACAUAUUAAGCUUAUUAAUUUAUUAUGUCGGAAUCAGUAUUCUGCAUAAUCCAAGAUAUGUGUAUCUGUAAAGUAAAGUAUGUAGAGUGUGUACCUGAAUUGUGGAGUGGUGUAGUCGAAGUGUGUUUGGCGUGUCGAGGGAUCUCCCCCAUACUUGUUUUCUGCUUUAUUGCACAAAAAUAAAGUAGAGACACGCAAGACAUAAUAAUAAUAAUAAUACUCUUUAUUAAUCUUGAGGCAUUUAUUAGAACCGACUAGUAGCAAACUGACGAUAAUAGUAGCAAACUGACAACAAUAGUAAACCUAAACCGAAUUUAAAGAUAAAUGACUAAGAUGCAUUGCCUCAAGGUCUAAUCUAGAUAACUUAGCGGCGCUCUAAUUCCUUAAUCUUCUUAUUGGCACUGGCAAGAUCCUGCCUAAGGCCUAGUAUAACGGUGUUGUGGUUAGAGAGUUGCCUAGUGAGGGAAUUAAUCGAGGACUGGAGGUCUAUGAUAACUCUGUCUAGCCUGCGAACGUCCUCAUCAAUAUCUACUAUAGUCUUGCAACGCUUGGGAGGUGUCUCCAAAGCAUUGAGAGCAUGCUUCGGGGCUGCCUUUAGAGGGAUGAAACGGACUUUGGCUGCUCUAAUCUCUUCGAAAUAAGGUCUUUCCUCCUCUGUAGUGUAGCGUAUGCUGCUGAUCUCGCCGCUCCGAUUGGUCUCGACUCCAACGACCCUCUCAUUGGGUCUAGGUGGAAGGAUCCUCGUGCCGGUUGGCACCUUGAUGGUGGUCUUCGUCUUGGAUGAUGAUCCCUUGAGGAGUAGGGGUUGUGGCGGUGCGGUGAGAACUAGUUGAGCAUGAUAGGAUUUGGCGAAGCUACGUUGGCGUAAUGGCAUGGCUUCUAGCCGUCGCUCUGUGUUGGCCGGGACGAGAGCACGGGCGUCGGCGUCUUCCUUAGGCUUCAUGUUGAGGUUGAAGGGGACGACUUCCCAAUCGUAGUGGAACUCUUCAGGCAUUGGAGCAGCGAGGGACUAAAUAAGCUCUAAUUGAAGAAGAAGAGAAGGCUUGGGUGUUGACACUUGCUAACACCACUUGAAUACUAGGUUGUCAUCCCCAGCAUGGCACUAGAGUGUACUAUGGUAUUUAUACGCACAUAGAUAAUCCGCAAGCGCACGGAUACCGUUAUAGCUUUUACCCGGUUAAAGGUUUUAUCGUAUCCACAGGGAAACAGGAGAACCAACUACACUCUAACUUAAUCAAGAUAAGUAAAUAGGUGUAAAUAGGAAAGAUGGUAGAAUCGAAUAAUAACAAUAUUAAAGGUAAGAUAACAAUGGGUGAUAAUAUGGGAAUAGAGAGUAGAGUAAUUCUAGUAUAUGGGCGAUGGUAGCAGAAUAGAGAGGAUAACUAUGGUUUCUCUACUUCAAAGGGGUAUGUCUAUGUCUGGGACGAACCACGUGAUAAGAGUACACCACAAAGGAUGCUUAUCCUUAGGCCGAUAAACCCUACCCGUCUUGCUAACGAGAGGUGGACUACAGAGGACCAACAUAACUGUCACCUACGCAGCCUACCACAUGAUCCAGCUAGACAGGGGAUAUCCACAAGUAAUCUAGGUCUAAGCACCAUGCUUACACCUAUACUACAACUCUAACCUAUCGGGUCCUAUAGAUUAGAAGUACUCAAAAGAGUUGUGAACCAGAACAUACAUGAUUAGUAAUUGCAUAAUGAAUUAGAAGUAGAUUACUAGAGUCACGACGAAGUACAACCGAAGGAAGAACCGACAGGCCAGCCUCUCCUCUAAUCCUCCUUCACUCUCCAUCUCGCUACUAUCUAGAUCUACUCUAGUUUAGAGAAGAGAGGAGAGCUCUCAUCUCUAAACCCUAGCUUUUGCUCUGUCUAUGAAUAAUGAAUAAUGAUCAAGGGGUUGCCUCCUCCAGGGGCAAGGGGGUCUGGUUAUAUAGUCCCCUCAAGUGAAGCUGGGCCGUCAGAUCAAACCGACAUUGAUUGAACGGUUAUUCUUGAUCCUUUAGGUCGGUGGAGCAUAAUCCGUGAGGUUGAACGUGAUUGGCCACUGUAGCAGGGCGGGCGCCCUGCCCCCGAGCCCGCUCGUCCUCCCGUUCGUUCCCGUGGCUUCUGGAGUCUUCUAGAUGGUAGAAAAUUGCGCGGCACGUUAAUAUCUCUAUGUAAACCCGACGUGUGGGCCUUUCCUCCAUAUUUCCUGACAACCCCCUGCAGAAAUAGACAAACACCAAAACUCGUGGAAUUCUGUCAGAUAAAACCCUAAGUUUAGGUGUUGGUUGUAUUUGGAUCAUUUUCUUUGUUUAUUUGCUGAUUAUAUUUGGUACUUAAGGAUCGUCAACAACUCCCCCAAGCUUACCUCUUGCUCGUCCCUGAGCAAGGAUGGACUCAAGAUUUUAUUUCACAGGGAAAACAGGAAUGGGAUAAUGUAGCAAGUGGUAGUAACCAAAAUAGCUCGAGCAUUUAUUUCACAGGGAAAACAGGAAUGGGAUAAUGUUUUUGGCUAUUCUCUCCCGGAUAGGAGUAGAAUAAUUAUGGGUGAAUCUGGAGAUGGAAAUGAGUGGAUGUAUGUGGAUGCAUACUUCCGGAGUAGAAGCAGCAUGUAUGAGUGGACGUGCAAGUGAAUCUUUAUUAUAACCACAUGACAAGCUAAUAAGGGUCUACAUAGCUUGACCACACUCAAUGCUCAUAAGCAGUAAAAAGUAAAUGUAUGGUUCAUAGUCUCAUAAGCAUGUAUAUGUGGCUGUGGUAGGAUUUUAAUCUCUCAUCAUACAAGAACUCAUCAUGCAACAUUUUAAAGAUUUUCAAAGAUAAAAUUCUCCAGAAUUCUAGCAUCUCUAGGAACAGAUAAACAGCAGCUCAACCUUCCCAUAUCAUAUCCGUUAACGACUUAGACUUUAGAUCAAGUACUCUUCCCACAAGUUCAGGUUUAGAGCAAAUCUUAAUUCAUAACAGUCAUGCCUAAACUUGAGAGAGAUUUCAAUUUUGAGAACUAGUCAUGGCAGAGCAACUAUUCAUCAUUCCUAUGUGAGAGCUUAUCAUGAGGGUUCAUAGCAAACUUUAUUUAUUUAUUAAUUUAUUUAUUUUGCAAACUAAGUAUAGAUAUAUAUAUAUAAUAUAUAUAAGAAUAAAAUCUUUAUUUGGGUUUAUAUGAUUAUGCAUCUUUUUACUAUUUGAGUAAAGUAUAAAUGCGAGUAAAAACACUUAGCUGGAUAAAUGGGGGUGCUCUCCCCCAAGCUGGAUUUUGACGUAAUUUCUUCUGAUGUAGCUAGCAGGUGAUGGAGGUGUAUUUGAAUGUCGGCAGCACCUAGACAGCGAUUAGAAUGUCCUCUGUCUACUAGUCUUCUUUGAUCCUUGAAUUCUGUGGAGCUCAAAUAGACAACAAGGCUUUGUGGAACUAGUUAAGUGUUAGCAUAAAUAUCUAGCCUUUAUCAUGUUGAGCUUCCUCUAAUAAAUAUUACUCUCUUUGGUAGGAUCAUAAAUUUAUUUUUAUAUUUUCAUUUUAUAGGAUAGGAAUAUAUUUAUUUUAUUUUUACACCACCACAGUGAAUGUACUUAUGGGUUUUAUGCCACGAGCAUACUCACAUGGGGCUUACUAUUUUUAACAUCUUUUUAUUUUUUUUCAAGAUAGCAUGAAUAACUAACAAGCUAUUUAAGGAAAGUAAAUAAUUUAAGGGAAAAGGGAAUGCAGAAAAGAUAAAUAUGGAUAACUACCGAUUUUACCUUUCGGCGAGGGUUCAAUGUUUUAAGUCUUCUGAACAAGACUUCUCACUGUGUUCAUUCUUCAGGUGUGUCAUUUGAUUCAGGUGUGGACCUUGACAUCUGCACCUCUUAAUACGGUGUCACCCAUGUUCUUCGUUUGCCCAGUAGUUCGAAGUGCGGCGGUGGCAGUAUCCUGCUCAGUGUGUAUGUGCUCGUAGAUCCAGGUCCUUUACUUGGUAGAGUCUGAGAGUUAUAAAACUCCUCCAUGUUUUGCUCGAAGUGUACCUGCUCAUAGAGACAAAGCAGAGAUCUAGUGCAUGGGUCCUGUUGGUGGAAAACACCAACAGAACCAAAAGUGUAUUUGUUCUUCUCUAACCUUAAGCAUAGUGAGCAAGACAAAGUUGAUGGAUGAUAAGUUCAUGAGUGUAGUACUAAUAACAUUUGUCAGAUCAGAACGCUCAACCUUAUGGAAAGAUAAUCUAUCUAUGUAUAUGUCUUUUUCUUUAUAUCUCUCAAAGAUUGAAUGUGUAACAUUUUGGCUCAUAUGAUUAGGAGUGUGGGAUCAUGGAGGUAGUACUAGGAACAAAGACUAAAGGACUAAACAUGCUGAAUCAGUUGGGUUGGUUAAUUUGGAGUUAUAAAUCAUACAUGUUUGUCUCUUUAUUUAUGUGAACGCCAGAACCAAGGAGAAGUUUAUAAAAGUGAUAAUUAGAUAUCUUAAGAUGUUACCUUACUUGAAGAGUGAUGGUACAGUAUCACCUUGUGGAAGCUUUCCUUUCUUAGCGGUUGUUCAUCUUGGUUAUGUACUUUGUCUCCUUCCAUGGAUCAUCUCUCUAUGAUGAAUGAGCUAUGUCCUCCUUGUGUAAAUUGUUAAAAUUUAUGUGUCUCUCCCUUUGUCUUCAAUAUGAAUUUAUCUCAGGACUUCCCAAAUUGAUAUUGAAAGUUUUUCUGCACGGGUUCGUGCGACAAAAUAUACCAAUGUCUACACAAGCAGUUUUUAGUUCAAUAACCGAACUAGACUCCAUGUCUAAUCAGAAAAAGAAAGGUUGUUUAACCUAAGCACCAUGCUUAAUUUAAAAGCCAAUAGAAGUAUGUGCAAUACUUCCAAACUAACACUUACUAGGAUAAACAAAGGUACGUGAUGGCAUUUAUAGAGAUCUACUCAAAUGGAGAUGAAGUAGUGUGAUUAGUAUUUAACAAAUUGAGCGUGUCUCAAAGGUAGGGACAACCAACAUAGCAACAUGACAAAGGAUGUUUUUAUGUAAAGUACUCCCCCAAGCUUGAAUUUUGCAAAAUUCAAGUUUGGGUGAAUUUAAUUCAAUGUUGUAUGAUGAUUGGUUGGACAAACCUUGUCCUUGUUAUUCAUCCGAUCUUCUUGCUCCAAACUUGGAAAGGUUAGUGACAAGAAUACCUGAAGGAAUAUUUUCACAAUUAUCUUUAUAUGCUCAAUACACAAGGUAAUGUUGCAAAUAAUUAAAAGCUCAUAUUAUGAUCUGAUCAGUGCUUAUUUUAGGACACUAAGCUUGUCCUUGGGAAACCAUCAAUUUAUGUCGGCGAAGUGGUUUCCCUUCCAACGCUGACCUAUAUCAAGAUCAACUUAACGAGAUCUACAAUAUUUAUUAUAGACAUAUGCAUCGACAACCGUCCUUUUAAAGUUUUUAUAAAUAGAAAGGAAGAGGGGGUUGGAGACCUCAAGUGUGGUGAUGUCGGAGAGACCAAUAGAUUGGGAAGAUGUUGCAUAUAAGCAUGGAGUAAACGAAGUGGCUAUGAAAUAAAUUCCAUGCUCAUUAAUGUUAUCUUCGUCUCCAAUCUGAAUGUUCAGAAUUUCUCCUGGAUUGGUCUCACCUAUGUCCUCUUCUGUAGUUGGAUAAAUCUCAUCUUCAAAGGGAGUCAAGAACUCACCAUUUGAAAUUGAGCCAAAGUCAGAAUCCAUUAAGGCUUCUUCCUUAUCCAUCCAUUCUACACAUUCUAGCCAUUUGGAACUUGUGAACAUCGAAGGGGAGCAGAUAGAAUUUUCUAUAUGGCUUAGCUCUCCUUCACUUGAUAUAUCAUCCUCGACUUCUUCAUAAUAGGAACCAGGACAUUCUCUAAGAGAAACAUUAUUGCAAGGAUUUGAAUUAUCCUUGCUUGAAGGUCUCUUAUGGAACCAGAAGUCUAAACCAUCAGUAUCUGAAAGAUAUAAGGUCGGAAUUCCUUCCUCCCUUGGAGAAUUUUGGGGUAGUGAUGGUUUAGGAUCGAUAGCUAAAGCUUGGGAUUGAAGUGGUUGUGAUCUGGCUAUCGAAACUGCUUCUUCUUGUCUAGGAACUGGUUAUUUCUCUUUCUCAGGGAUAUAAAAGCUAGGAGACUUUCCACUCAUUAAAUCAAUCAAAUUCCAAGCUUCACUAGCAGGUAGGUGAUAGAAGGAUCCUCUAGAGGCUGUAUUCAAGGUUUGCUUAUUUUCCCCACUAAGGCCCUCAAAAAAGUGAAUUAGAAGAACUUCUUCUGAAAUAGAAAGCUUUGGGCCAGUGAGAGUAAGGUUAAUAAAGCAGUCCCAUGAUUUCCUAAGAGAUUCUUCUUCCAGUUGUCUAACAGAAAUAAUCACACGCCGAAGUUCCGCCACUUUUGAGAUUGGAAAAUAUUUAAGAAGAAAACUAUUAUAUAACUCCUUCCAAUCUCCAUGAACACUCCCUACUUUGAGUUUGUACCAAUGUCUAGCUUUUCCCGUUAAAGAGAACGGAAAGAGCUUCCAUUUAAGGGUCUCAUCGAACAUGCCUUCUAUUUGAAGGAGGUCACAGACUCGAUAAAACUCUCUUAGUUGUGUGUAUGGGUUUUCUUCACCUUCUCCUGAGAAAGGAUGUAUUAAACAAAUUCUAUGUAUUCGGGGUCUAUCUCAAAACUAGAUGCUAUGAUAGGCUUUGAAGAUUUUGGUGGUUCGAGAUGUGUGCUCGUAGGUCUAUAAAAUUCAUAGAUACACAUGUUUGAAGUCAUGAUAGACUAGAGAUCAAGGAUUAGACAAGAAGAAAGAAUAGUAGAGAUGAGGCAAAGGAUAAAAGGAAAAGUAUAUUUUUUAUUUUUUAUUUUUAUAUUUUUUAGAAAAUGAUUAAGCUAGUUCGUAGUCAACUCAGCAAACGUCUCCCCGGCAACGGCGCCAAAAAUGCUUGUUGACACUUGCUAACACCACUUGAAUACUAGGUUGUCAUCCCCAGCAUGGCACUAGAGUGUACUAUGGUAUUUAUACGCACACAGAUAAUCCGCAAGCGCACGGAUACCGUUAUAGCUUUUACACGGUUAAAGGUUUUAUCGUAUCCACAGGGAAUCGGGAGAACCAACUACGCUCUAACUUAACCAAGAUAAGGUGUAAAUAGGAAAGAUGGUAGAAUCGAAUAAGAACAAUAUUAAAGGUAAGAUAACAAUGGGUGAUAAUAUGGGAAUAGAGAGUAGAGUAAUUCUAGUAUAAGGGCGAUGGUAGCAGAAUAGAGAGGAUAACUAUGGUUUCUCUACUUCAAAGGGGUAUGUCUAUGUCUAGGACGAACCACGUGAUAAGAGUACACCACAAAGGAUGCUUAUCCUUAGGCCGAUAAACCCUACCCGUCCUGCUAACGAGAGGUGGACUACAGAGGACCAACGUAACUGUCACCUACGCGGCCUACCACACGAUCCAGCUAGACAGGGGAUAUCAACAAGUAAUCUAGGUCUAAGCACCACGCUUACACCUAGACUACAACUCUAACCUAUAGGGUCCUAUAGAUUAGAAGUACUCAAAAGAGUUGUGAACCAGAACAUACAUGAUUAGUAAUUGCAUAAUGAAUUAGAAGUAGAUUACCAGAUUCAUCCCAUGAGCAAUUUUGAUUAGAGCUUGAUCAUGACGAAGUACAACCGGAGGAAGAACCGACAGGCCGGCCUCUCCUCUAAUCCUCCUUCGCUCUCCAUCUCGCUACUAUCUAGAUCUACUCUAGUUUAGAGAAGAGAAGAGAGCUCUCAUCUCUUAACCCUAGCUUUUGCUCAGUUUAUGAAUAAUGAAUAAUGAUCAAGGGUUGCCUCCUCCAGGGGCCAGGGGGUCUGGUUAUAUAGUCCCCUCAAGUGAACCUGGGCCGUCGGAUCAAACCGACAUUGAUUGAACGGUUAUUCUUGAUCCUUUAGGUCGGUGGAGCAUAAUCCGCGAGGUUGAACAUGAUUGGCCACUGUAGCAGGGCGGGCGCCCAAGGGGGGAGGGCGGGCGACCUGCCCCCGAGCCCGCUCGGCCUCUCGUUCGUUCCCAUGGCUUCUGGAGUCUUCUAGAUGGUAGAAAAUUGCGCGGCACGUUAAUAUCUCUAUGUAAACCCGACGUGUGGGCCUUUCCUCCAUAUUUCUUGAUAACCCCCUGCAGAAAUAGACAAACACCAAAACUCGUGGAAUUCUGUCUGAUAAAACCCUAAGUUUAGAUGUUGGUUGUAUCUGGAUCCUUUUCUUUGUUUAUUUGCUGAUUAUAUUUGGUACUUAAGGACCGUCAACAGGGGGUAGCGACGUUGUGAUGGAUUCCAUGUUUUGAUAGAUAUUGCUUGAAGCGUUUAUCGUUGAAGUGUGCUCCUCCAUCACUUAUGACUACUCUGGGGACUCCAAAUCUUAGAGAUAUAAUUUCUUCAAACAUCCUCUUUGAACUGAUGUUGUCGGCAUGCUUCCAAGGUAAUGCCUCUACCCACUUGGAGACGUAGUCAACUGCCACCAAGAUGUACUCACACUUCUUUGAUGGAGGAAAUGGACCCAUAUAGUCUAUUCCCUAGACAUCAAAGAGCUCAAUCUGAAGGUUGUUGGUGAGUGGCAUUGCAUCCCUUGUAUUUAUGUUUCCGUGCCUUUGACAUGGCCCACAUCUUCUGAUAUAUUGCUUCAUGUCUUCAUACAUUGUAGGCCAGUAGAAUCCACACUGCCAGAGCUUUGAAUGUGUACAGAAUGCUCCAUAAUGACCUCCAUAUGGUGAUGAAUGACAUCUGUCGAUGAUCUUCCAUCCUUCCUCAGUGGUCACACAUCUCCUGAGUAAGCCAUCAGAGCAUACUCGGAAGAGGUAUGGCUCAUCCCAUAUAUGUGAAUGACUUUCUUGAAUAAGCUUCUUCUUGUUUGCUCCUGGCGGUACAUACCCCGAAACCAAAAAAUUAACAAUAUCUGCAAACCAGGGGUCAGACCUGUUAAUCCCGUAGAGCAUGUCGUCCCGGAGUGAAUCAUUGAUGGUGGUUUCCUGUGGACUCUUAAAAUACAUUCUAGACAAGUGAUCUGCAACAGAAUUUUCUACUCCCUUUUUAUCUUUUAUUUCUAAGUCAAAUUCUUGGAGUAAUAAGAUCCAUCUAAUCAGGCGCGGUUUAGCAUCUUUUUUAGUGAGCAAAUAUUUUAGUGCAGCAUGAUCAAUGUAAACAAUUAUUUUAGCUCCAACUAAAUAAGAUCUAAAUUUAUCAAUGGUAAAGACAACAGCCAGAAGCUCUUUUUCAGUGGUUGCAUAGUUAAGUUGAGCUCCUGUCAAAGUUUUACUGGCAUAAGCAAUUGCAUGAUGCUUCUUAUUUUUAGUUUGUCCCAAUACUGCCCCCACAGCAUAAUCACUAGCAUCACACAUAAUUUCAAAAGGCAACGACCAAUCAGGGGGUUGAAUGAUUGGUGCAGAGAUGAGUGUUGGGUAUUCUUAACAUCAUUACUAAAAGUAGACUAAGUUCUAAAUCUAGCAACGGUGCCAAAAAUGCCAAACCUAUCCCUCACACCACUUAAGCCAAGUUGUCAUCCCCAGCAUGAUAUAAGAGACGCGGUAUUGAAAUAUGCAAUUGCUCUUCUAAAUAAAUAAUGAAUUCGAUCUGCAAGCGCACAGAUUAAUACCGAUGUAGCAUUUUAACCGGGAAGUAUUCCAGGUAUCGUUAUUUAUAUUUUUACCACUGGGAAGGGAUUAGCAAUCAUCACUAAUGAUUACAGAAUAGAAUAUGAGAUUGAGCAUCUAUCAUUGCAUGUAUAAUUGAGAACAUUAUAUCUAACUCUUCAUACAGGGAUAAGUGUCACAUAAAAGAUAUAUGAAAUAAUAAUAGUGACAAGGAUAACUAAUUUGAUCUAGCCACAUAAUAAAUAUGAUAAGCACCUCAAUUAGAUACUCUAGAAAGUCAUUAGCAUGGUAUUAGAACGAACUACAAGAAUAUUCCCUAAGUUAUUCUCAACUAUAUAGUCUAGCAUAUCAUAGUUAGUGCAAGCAUACUUAGCAAUCAUUGCGAGACAAGACUACGCCCAUGCAUAGUGAUAUUAGCAAGGAAUAUGAGAAACAUAGCAAUCACUCCCCUGUAAUAAUGUUGCUCUGCCAGCCCAAUACACGAGAGGGGGACUAUAUAAGAAUCAAUGAAGCUGUCACUAUCACGAACCACCCCACGAUCUGGCAUAUUGGGUACAAUCGCAGAUAAAUACGGUAUAAGCACCACGCCUACACAAUAUCUAUCAUUUACCCAUGGAUCCGAUGGAUAAACGCUAUACGAUCCUAAGCAUGUAUAUAGAUCCAAUCUAACUAAGCCAAGUACAUAACUAUGAUAAACUAAGAACAAUAUAAUCUUGAAUAUAAGCAAGUAGAGCAAAGUCAUAAGCAAUAUAUUGAAGUAGAACAAAGUCAUAUUCAUAAUAUUGAAGAACAAAGAUAAUUAGAAAGCAAUUAGAAGCACAAUUAGACAAUUACCAAGAAUCCUCUUGACAGAUCCGGAAACCAAUCGAAGAUUGACUCCUUCUAGUUCUAAUCCUAUGUAGCUAUGCUAAUCUAGAUAUCUAAUUGAUGUGGUGGCUCUAAUCUUGAUCAGAGGCUUCUUCUCCCUUGAUGGAACAAUGAAUUAGUGUUGAGAGGCUCUCUCCUCCAGGGGCCAGGGGGUCUGGUUUUAUAGUCCGUUCAAGUGAAUAUGGGCCCUUGGAUCAAACCGACAUAGAUUGUAUGGUUUAGAUUCAUCCUUUAGGUCGGUGGAGAUCUCCCGCAAAGCAGAGUCCUGAUUGGACUCAGGAGGUGGGCGGGCGCCCUGACCAACUGGGCGGGCGCCCAGGGUCUGGCCCCGUUUCGCCUCCGCUUCGGUCUCGUGGCUUCUGGAGUCUUCUAGAUGUAAGAUAAUUGCGCAGCACGUUAAUAUCUUUACGUAAUCCCGACAUGUGGGCCUUUCUUCCGUAUUUCCUGAUAACCCCCUACAGAAAUAGACAAACACCAAAACUCGUGGAAUUCUGUCAGAUAAAACCCUAAGUCUAGAUCUUAAUUUCAUUUGGAUCCUUUUCUUUAUUUAUUUGAUAAUUAAAUUUGAUACUUAAGGACCGUCAACAAACUCCCCCAAGCUUACCUCUUGGUCGUCCCUGAGCAAGGAUAGACUCAGCUAUGGAUCAUAAGUUGUUGCAAUAUUUUUAAAAAAUAGACGGUACACAUGCUUUUAAAUAAGAUCUCAUCUCUGAGUUAGAGUAAACUAUCAAGACUUAAAGCUUACUUACUUUACCUCCACCAUGGGACUUGUAACUGUCACUUCCGUCUUGACUGGUUAAAAGAUAGAACAGUCUAGCCAAGUGCCAUGUCUCUUAUUCUUGAUCAGCUAUAGCUCUGGGGUUUUUUUGCAGAUUUUCAAAUAAAACUCAGAGAUUCCUUGUAUGAUUCUCUCAGGUCUCUCUUUGGUGGUAUUUUUGGAUCCUUACCAAGGCAUUGAUGGUAUAUGCCUUCUCUCAAGAUAUGUAGUAUUUGUGGUAUAAGUCAUAGUGACAUUGCCUUCUCUCUCACCCUACUCUAAUAAGGCUUUAAUAUCUGGAGCUCAUAGGUGGGACAUAAAGUAUACAUACUCACAAGACAUUUAUUGCAUAGUCAAACCAUGGAUCCAAAGAAACAAAUCAAUAAGCCAAAUCAAGAUGUGCAUGUGUGGCGAAUGAAUGGUGUAUGGUGAUGAUGGUGAUAACAAUGGUGAAAACAAUGGUGGUGGAAGUCUAAUUCUACUUUGCUCUUUUGAGGGGAUACAUACCUUCAUUGCUUUUGAAACUUUAUGAGGAGAAUGAGAUGCUCUUCUUUUUCUUGUCUCUCAGGUGGGUAUCUUGCACCCCUAAUUCUACUGUCGGACACUUGUCCAUUUUUACCUCUCGUCUCACUCUUUCUUUUCUUUCGAGGUUCCGAGCACUUGUUCCUUUUUAUUUCCUCGUAUAUUUUUUUAUUUUCUUCUUUUUUUUAGAGCACUCAUCUCUUGAGAUAAUAUAGCAAGUGGUAGUAACAAGAUAACUUGAGCAUUUAUUUCACAAGGGAAAACAGAAAUAUUUUUGGUUAUUCUCUCCCGGAUUAGGAGCAGAAUAUUUUUGGGUGAUUCUGGAGAUGGAAAUGGAUGGAUAUAUGUGGAUGGUACUUCCGGAGUAGAAGUAGCAUAUAUGAGUGAACGUGCAAGUGAAAUCUUGAUUUAACCACAUGACAAGCUCCUAAGGGUCUACACAGCUUGACCACACUCAAUGCUCAUAAGCAGUAAAUAGUAAAUGUGUGGCUCAAAGUCUAGCAAGCAUGUAUAUAUGGCUGUGGUAGGAAUUUAAGCUCUCAUCAUACAGGAACUCAUCAUGCAACAUUUUAAAGAUUUUCAAAGAUAAAAUUCUCCAGAAUUCUAGCAUCUCUAGGAACAGAUAAACAGCAGCUCAACCUUCCCAUAUCGUAUCCGUUAACAACUUAGACUUCAGAUCAAGUUUUCAUCCCACAAGUUUAGGUCUAGGGCAAGCUUUAAAUUAUAACAGUUAUAUCUAAACUUGAGAGAGAACUUAAAAUUUGCAAAUUAGAUAGAGCAACUAUUUAUCAUAUCCAUGAUUAAGUUUUAUUUAGAUACAGAUUAGCAUAGCCACUUAAACACACUAAGCAA
rnacentral:lncRNA from 1 species